rnacentral:rRNA from 1 species
UACGAAGGGGGCUAGCGUUGUUCGGAAUCACUGGGCGUAAAGCGCACGUAGGCGGAUCUUUAAUUCAGGGGUGAAAUCCCGAGGCUCAACCUCGGAACUGCCUUUGAUACUGGGGAUCUCGAGUCCGGGAGAGGUGAGUGGAACUGCGAGUGUAGAGGUGAAAUUCGUAGAUAUUCGCAAGAACACCAGUGGCGAAGGCGGCUCACUGGCCCGGAACUGACGCUGAGGUGCGAAAGCGUGGGGAGCAAACAGG